UUGUAGAUUUAAUGCAAAUUAACCCAUUUCAAGUAACAUGGUCUCAAAUGGUUUAUUGACUAUUCCAUGGUCACAACAUUUGAAAUGGGUUAAUUUGCAUGCAAGCUGAAAAGGUCUAUUCGUCAACAUUUGAGUUAUUAGAAAGACAAGAUGCAAUUAUUCAAUUGCAUUUUUACUAGAACAUCAAUAUGUAAGACAUAAAAUAUCAUUUAUACACAUUUGAAAUUAUUUGUGUUUUUUUCCUAAAAACCUGCAGUUCUCUUCAUAACACAACUGAUGUACCAUGGUUAAUUUGAAAGGCAUGUCUUAAACUCUUUUAGUUCCAGCACUGCAAUUCCAUAAAAUGGCUCUACAAGGGACUUUUCUUAAUGAGGAUUACCUGAAUGCAGAAUACUGUACCCCUGAAUUUAAGAAUUUUUCUCUAAUCGCGCCAGUCAUGGUCAAACAAUAAUUGGCGCAUAUGUUACCACUCGGAGAAAAGCACCAAUGAUUUCACCAAACAAGUGACGCCAUGUCCACAGGAUCCAAGCCCAAGGAAAAAUAUGCUUAAUAUAUAGAGAUUACUUCAUCGUUGGCGAGUGCGUACGAUUUUUAUGCACGAGUUGUGAAGGAUCGUGCAUGGAGUGUAAUGAACAUACA